UUGUAUUGGAUUUCUAACCCGCAGCACUUAUCGUGCUGGGAGACAGUGUCAGGCGGGCAGUUUGACUGGGGCGGUCGCCUCCUAAAGAGUAACGGAGGCGCUCAAAGGUUCCCUCAGAAUGGUUGGAAAUCAUUCAUAGAGUGUAAAGGCAUAAGGGAGCUUGACUGCGAGACCUACAAGUCGAGCAGGGUCGAAAGACGGACUUAGUGAUCCGGUGGUUCCGCAUGGAAGGGCCAUCGCUCAACGGAUAAAAGCUACCCCGGGGAUAACAGGCUUAUCUCCCCCAAGAGUUCACAUCGACGGGGAGGUUUGGCACCUCGAUGUCGGCUCAUCGCAUCCUGGGGCUGUAGUCGGUCCCAAGGGUUGGGCUGUUCGCCCAUUAAAGCGGUACGCGAGCUGGGUUCAGAACGUCGUGAGACAGUUCGGUCCCUAUCCGUCGUGGGCGUAGGAAAUUUGAGAGGAGCUGUCCUUAGUACGAGAGGACCGGGAUGGACAUACCUCUGGUGUACCAGUUGUCGUGCCAACGGCAUAGCUGGGUAGCUAUGUAUGGACGGGAUAAGUGCUGAAAGCAUCUAAGCAUGAAGCCCCCCUCGAGAUGAGAUUUCCCAACUUCGGUUAUAAG
rnacentral:rRNA from 1 species